rnacentral:rRNA from 1 species
GACGAACGCUGGCGGCGUGCUUAACACAUGCAAGUCGAACGGAAAGGCCCUGCUUUUGUGGGGUGCUCGAGUGGCGAACGGGUGAGUAACACGUGAGUAACCUGCCCUUGACUUUGGGAUAACUUCAGGAAACUGGGGCUAAUACCGGAUAGGAGCUCCUGCUGCAUGGUGGGGGUUGGAAAGUUUCGGCGGUUGGGGAUGGACUCGCGGCUUAUCAGCUUGUUGGUGGGGUAGUGGCUUACCAAGGCUUUGACGGGUAGCCGGCCUGAGAGGGUGACCGGCCACAUUGGGACUGAGAUACGGCCCAGACUCCUACGGGAGGCAGCAGUGGGGAAUAUUGCACAAUGGGCGGAAGCCUGAGGCAGCAACGCCGCGGGCGGGAUGACGGCCUUCGGGUUGUAAACCGCUUUCGCCUGUGACGAAGCGUGAGUGACGGUAAUGGGGAAAGAAGCACCGGCUAACUACGU